GAUCUUCAGGGCAGGGUGUGAUUCCCUACCGGUGGUAUAGCCCACGAGCCGUAAGGCAUGAUUCGGUGUAAUUCCGAAGCCGACAGUAUAGUCUGGAUGAAAGAAGAU
rnacentral:ncRNA from 2 species